rnacentral:rRNA from 1 species
CCUACGGGAGGCAGCAGUGAGGAAUAUUGGUCAAUGGCCGGAAGGCUGAACCAGCCAUGCCGCGUGAAGGUCAGUGCCCUAUGGGCGUUAAACUUCUUUUGUGCGGGAGCAAUACUGGUCACGUGUGGCCAGACGAGAGUACCGUACGAAUAAGCAUCGGCUAACUCCGUGCCAGCAGCCGCGGUAAUACGGGGGAGGCAAGCGUUAUCCGGAUAUAUUGGGUUUAAAGGGUGCGUAGGCUGUGAGGUAAGUCAGCGUGGAAAUGCCCCCGCUCUAAGGGGUGAAGUGCCAUUGAUACUGGCUCGCUGGAAUGCGGAUGCGGUGGGAGGAAUGUGUGGUGUAGCGGUGAAAUGCAUAGAGAUCACACAGAACACCGAUUGCGAAGGCAUCUCACGAAUCAGCGAUUGACGCUGAUGCACGAAAGCGUGGGUAUCAAACAGGAUUAGAUACCCGAGUAGUC